rnacentral:rRNA from 1 species
AUUGAACGCUGGCGGCAGGCCUAACACAUGCAAGUCGAGCGGAUGAAGAGAGCUUGCUCUCUGAUUUAGCGGCGGACGGGUGAGUAAUGCCUAGGAAUCUGCCUGGUAGUGGGGGAUAACGCUCCGACAGGAACGCUAAUACCGCGUACGGCCUACGUGAGCAAGCAGGGGGCCUUCGGGCCUCGCGCUCUCAGAUGAGCCUAGGUCGGAUUAGCUAGUUGGUGGGGUAAUGGCUCACCAAGGCGACGAUCCGUAACUGGUCUGAGAGGAUGAUCAGUCACACUGGAACUGAGACACGGUCCAGACUCCUACGGGAGGCAGCAGUGGGGAAUAUUGGACAAUGGGCGAAAGCCUGAUCCAGCCAUGCCGCGUGUGUGAAGAAGGUCUUCGGAUUGUAAAGCACUUUAAGGUGGGAGGAAGGGCAGUAAGUUAAUACCUUGCUGUUUUGACGUUACCGACAGAAUAAGCACCGGCUAACUUCGUGCCAGCCGCCGCAGUAAAAC